GUCAUGGUGGCCGAGCGGUCUAAGGCGCCAAACUCAAGAGGGAUCUUCUGGGUGUUCCGGUCCACGAAUGUGGGCGUGGGUUCGAAUCCCACCUCUGACA
rnacentral:tRNA from 1 species